rnacentral:rRNA from 1 species
GAUGAACGCUGGCGGCGUGCCUAAUACAUGCCAGUCGAGCGAACGGACGAGAAGCUUGCUUCUCUCAUGUUAGCGGCGGACGGGUGAGUAACACGUGUAUCACCUACCUAUAAUACUGGGAUAACUUCGGGAAACCGGCGCUAAUCCCGGAUAAUAUUUUGAACCGCAUGGUUCAAUAGUGAAAGACGGUCUUGCUGUCACUACUCGAUGGAUCUGCGCUGCAUUAGCUAGUUGGUACGUUCACGGCUUACCAAGGCAACUAUGCAUAGCCGACCUGAGAGAGGGAUAGGCCACACUGGAGCGGAGACACGGUCAAGACUCCUACGGGAGGCAGCAGUAGGGAAUCUUCCGCAAUGGGCGAAAGCCUGACGGAGCAACGGGGCGUGAGUGAUGAAGGUCUUCGGAUCGUAAAACUGUGUUAUGAGUGAAGAACAUAUGUGUAAUGAACUGUGGACAGCGUGACGGUACCUAAUCAGAAAGCAACGGCUAACUACGUG